rnacentral:rRNA from 1 species
AUUGAACGCUGGCGGAAUGCUUUACACAUGCAAGUCGAACGGCAGCACGGACUUCGGUCUGGUGGCGAGUGGCGAACGGGUGAGUAAUGUAUCGGAACGUGCCCAGUCGUGGGGGAUAACGUAGUGAAAAUUACGCUAAUACCGCAUACGAUCUAUGGAUGAAAGCGGGGGAUCGCAAGACAUCGCGCGAUUGGAGCGGCCGAUAUCGGAUUAGGUAGUUGGUGGGGUAAAGGCCCACCAAGCCAACGAUCUGUAGCUGGUCUGAGAGGACGACCAGCCACACUGGAACUGAGACGCGGUCCGGACUCCUACGGGAGGCAGCAGUGGGGAAUUUUGGACAAUGGGCGAAAGCCUGAUCCAGCCAUUCCGCGUGCAGGAUGAAGGCCCUCGGGUUGUAAACUGCUUUUGUACAGAACGAAAAGGUUUCUACUAAUACUAGGAGCUCAUGACGGUACUGUAAGAAUAAGCACCGGCUAACUACGUGCCAGCAGCCGCAGUAA